GAAUAAGGCUGUAACGUAACAAAAUGUGUUUAAAAAGUAAAGGGAUCUGAAUACUUCCGAAUGCUCUGUCUCUGUCAUCACUCCUAAUAUUGGUUGGACAUAACUCACAAUGUCAGUGGCUCUGUAAAUACAUAAUGUUGUGAGGGUCUUAUAGAAUCCUGGAGUUGGUAUAUUAUAUUACUUGUACAUAAAGCUUUUGUGAAAUAAUACAAGGCCAUUUUACUGAUGAAUUGACUGAAUAAUAAUUCAACCUGUGUCCCAAUUAACAGGCAAAUCAUAACUAUAACUUGCAGAAACUUCUUUCACCAACUUUUCAUUUUGUAACAGGUGGUAUGUAUUGUUGUGUUGAAUAGAAAAUAUACAACUGCUAGGUCUCCUGAGGUGCACAUGUAGAGCUAGCAAGAGCAUGUAUGAUUUAGUCCUCGAUAAAUUACUUGCAUACACAAAAUUGCCUUUCAUGUUUAGAGUGGUUGUGGGAACUGUGGUGCCUGCAGAUUUCCCCUCCCUCACUGGUGAUGUUGCAAAAGCAGAUUUCCCCUCCACCCAACUUGUCGCAGCCAUGCUGAUCGACGUCCCAACCUACACUGGCAGAAUGCCCAAAAGCUUCCUGAGUCCAUGCUUGUGAUGACAUUGCUGCUCGUGCUCAUUCUCGCGCUGCUCCGGUGGAGUAGUCCCAAAAUGGCAGCAGCCACGAUAUAGCGUUUGCGAACGACAGGGAUUGACCUGACUUUCAAGAAUUACUGAAUUGCUUCGCCUCUGGGUGGGCAUCAGACAUCUCUUCUUGUCAUUUACAGUAAUGCCCAGCCCGCCGGUGUGGGUCAGGAGCAUCUCUCUGUCUGACAGGUCCUGGGUCCUAGUCGGGGCACAAAUCAGCCAAUCACCCUGGUAAUUGAGGAUCAACAAUCCUCGGGAUGUGAGAGGUGCCAGGACAGCGUCCAUGCACUUUGUGAAAGUGCGGGGUGCCAAGGAGAGUCCUACGAGAAGAACCAUGAAUUCGUAAGCCGUCCCUUCGAAAGCGAAUCGGAGGUCCUGCCAAUGAGCUGGGUGAACAGGAACAUGGAAGUACGCAUCGCUCAGGUCCAGCAUAACAAACCACUGGUCCCUGGAAUGGCCUGCAACACGGGGGCUGGGGACAGCAUGUGGAACCUCAGUACCUUCAAGUAUCCAUUGAGGUUGCGGAGGUCCAGAUUUGGUCGAAACCCUCCGUCUCUUUUGGGGACCACAAAAUAAUGGGAGUAGAACCCACCUAGCCGUUCUGAUGUCUCGAUCCUGCGGAUGGCACCCUUGUCCAGGAGUGAGGAGAUCUCCAGCCGCAGGAUUUUCUUCAGGGGGUCGGCUACCGUGGUGACACGAAGGCCCCUGAAGGACGGGGGCCGGCACCGUAUUUGGAGUUGGUACCCCUCGAGCAUUGUAGACAACACCCCGUGGCACGGGCCAUAUCCCUCUGGAGCAGGGAAAGCAGGCGAGACACUUCCAUUGCUUCCCAAAGGAGCUCCUCUGUGCCCUCCUGCAGCCGGGGCAACAGAGUCUGCAGGUAGGCCUGCAGCAGCAUGGCCUCGUUGGUAAGGCAGCCAAGAGAGCAGAGGGACCCAUAUGUGUCUUUCAAGUCUGCAUCAAAGACUCUGGAGGGUCCCGGCUUCAGUCGCGGUUUCUGCCCUAUAAUCUCCCAGUGCGGGAGGACCAUGGCAGCUAUCAUGGUGUCCAUGGUCAGGUACUCCUGUAGGCCGAGUGACUCUGCACCUGCAACAUAACUCCAUGGUCCAGUCUCUUCUGUGAGUCGGAAGCGCCCCCUGGCAGAGGCCCAGCUCUCCUGCAAGGCCUCACAGAACUCAGCAGAGAUGGGGACAGAUGGAGAGUCAUCACUGUCCACCAGUUUGAUGUCCAGUGCAGUGGCUACCCGAGUGAGUAGGCUUCUCAUAGCCUCUCAAGCCGCUGGGGGUGAUGAAGCCCUCCUGGCGGCUUCUGAUGGCCUGUCAGCCUGGUAGCCCUGCAGUGCCAGUAUCGUCCCCCAGGAACAGCCCAUCACUGGCCAACAGGUAACAGCUGUCAUCACCAUCGAAGCUAUCAACUUCCGGAUGCAGGGCAUGCACCCUCUGUUCAAGGUGGUCCCAGCGGUCCGACUCCUGCCCCCGUCCAGGACUGGCAUCAGAUGGGCUCUGCCUGCGGUUGCUCCGGCCACGCUUCCUAGGAGGGGUACCUGGCUCAGUAGUGGGACUAACAGCUCGCUGAUGCACCACUCCUGAGGGAGGGAGCUCAUCCCCAGCCUGAGGCCGAGCCUGGCCGACCCAAUCGCGCAUGGCCUCCAUUGGCACAGGCACAGGCGUUCUGAGAACACCACACAAAACAGGCAUCCAGUAGGGCGCUCCACUGCCCUCCACAUGGCUCAAACCCAGGCAGUGCAUACAUGAGGUAUGCGGAUCCCCAGGGGGGAUGCCAACAUCAUACCUGUCACAAAGGGAAGCCAUAAGCUCAGCCAAGCCAACAAGGCCACGGAGCAGGGGUCUGGCGCCCUGGGAGAGCUUAUGCCGUGACUCGCUUGGAGGAAUAGGAACCCGGUGAGGGAUAAUUACCUAGUACCUCUGCAGAAAACGGUGAAGACCCGUGUGGGACAAGCAGGCAGACAAAAAAACAGCAACCAGGGGAAAGAACAAGACAAAAACCCACAGGGUAAUUAGCAGGACCCAACGCGGGGAGCAGCAUGUUAAAGCAAUUCACAACACACACAUAGAACAAGCCAGUCGGUAAGUUGUGUAAGGUAAAUUAAAGUUUGUGGCAGCAAGAGCCAACAUACUAGUGGAUGCACAUGGAGUCGUAGUGUAACACUAACGAAACACAAGUACGACAAACCAUGGGCGGAAGAUACAGAUCAACUGUGCGCAGUGAGUGGAGCACUCAAGAGGAGGGGCUGGCCAUGUGCCCAGCUGCUCCAGACAGCAAACAGCGAGUGAGUAUACUUCCACGCAAGAUAUUAUACUUAUCAGUGACUUACCAAGUGAACUUCAGAAAGUUUGUACCUCGAACCAUACAGAUGUCCGCCGAGAAAAUUAAAGAGAACGUGUGUCGCGGCCAUGGGGUCUAUAUAUAUGGGCGGACCCCAGCCGUGACACAGGUGUACACGGGAGUAAAUCUCUAAAUUCUCACCUCAGAUGUAUCCCUCUUCAGCGGAGUGAUCCAAUAUAGUAAAACACAACCACAGAUUAUCCAUCAUAUAGACCCCUUUCCAGUACGCGACACACUGACGUCACCCACAGAUGUGCAUGACUCUUGGCGGCAGUUAGAAAGCUAUCGCAAUUUGUCCCCAUUUAUCAUACAUUUAAGUUUUUAUUACUUCUAAACAAAAUAACUUUUGGGUUCCCAUGAUGUUUUGAUUCUAGCAUGAACAAUUACUAAGAUUAUAUUUGGUUGUGAUCUUUGCACAAUAACUAUUUUGGCUGCUGCAGUUGUGAGCUAGAAUACAAAUGCUAAUUGAAAUAGGCUGUAGAAAAAGCUAGCCAAGGAGGCAUUUUACUGGUUGAAGUUUAAGUGUUUUUUUAAAGUAUAAUGCAGUUGAUUUGCGAUUAUAACACAGACAUUAUAUUAAGUAGGACAUUCAUUCAUACGAGCCUUAAAAUCUGAUUAUAAUCCAAAAGUGUUGUGAAAAUUUCACUCAUAAGCAACAUUUAUUUUGCUGGCAUUCUAUAAGAACUUCCCCAUGUUCUGCCACCUACCUACGCGCAUCUCCUUCGUGCGGCAAUGUAUGCAAACACAGAAAGGGGUCUAUAGACCAGAUACUCAAGUGGCGGCUCUAACAAUUUAAAUAAAUGUCUUCAAAAAUGGAAGGCAGUCGGGAGGAGGCAAGAUCAGAGUGGAUCAUUCUAUCCAAUGAGUGGGCAUGUGUGAACAACGGGCACAACGCCCCAAAAAUUGUUUUCUUAUCAAAGUUACUCAAAGUACACUCAUGACAACCAAAUCAUUGUGAAACUUAUAUUCAAUCAAAUAAGCCACAUGUAGAAAAUAAACCAUACAUUUUUUGUUAACCAAAUUCAACACUCAUUGACCUCCAAACCAAAACUCCUCGCUUGGCGAGUUAAAAAAACGCCACCUGCUGGAGAAAACAGAUUUUAAACCCAGUUAUUCCUCUCACUUCACCGUUUCCUUUCUGGCAGAACUCCUAUCCACGGUACUGGUAGGAGUAUUUAGAAAGCAAUCUUGUUGUAUGAAUUUCCGAUAGUGGAAACGAUGCAUUUCGGAUAAUGGAACCUAAUCAGUGCACCAACGAAGGCUGGACAAAAACUAAGGGAGCUGUGACGCAUAUUCGAAAACUUCUGCUAUGCUCAAAAAGAUGCCCUUCCCAUUGAACUACAAGCACAGUCAGAGAACUGUGUUAAAGCACAAGAACUUGAAAAUCUAGUUCAGUCCACGCAGCCGUAAGGUGCGUUGUCGGGUAGAGAAGCCUGUGGAGGUACCACAACCAUCAGACCGUGAGACGGAAGUGGGAAAGCUGCCCCAAGACCUCCCGACACGAUACCGGAGUCCAAGUUCAAAGACCUGUCUGUUUUUAACUUCAACUCCUCCUCCCAAGACUCGGGCUCCUCCUUUCCUCAGAGAGCGACUAACGAUGAGAAGAAGAAGGUGGCAACUAAGCCAAGAAAUGGUGGUGUCAGGAAGCCUGCAGCCUGGCAGAAACCAACAACACGUAAAGAAACCAAGCAGAAGAUCAAGAUGCAGAGGUUGGAGGCGAUCAACCGGCAGUGGGGCUUUGGUGGAGAAGGAGAUGUCAGAGAGGAAGGAGAGCAGGUCAUACACCAGCCCCUCUCAGCUAGAUAAGCUCUCUGCUAAACACCUCAAACAAAAUGAGAAAUCUACUACAAAGCCAGUUCUAUUCUCUCAUCCCAAGCACACUCCCAAACGAUCCUGUGCAGAAGAGAAAAACCUUUCACAGAGUACCCCGCAAAAAACAAGGUGUCUCCCGGCCAGGGUAGAUGUCAGACGGGAGAGGGUCCCACUCCCAGCUCUGCCUACCAUGUUGACAGCCCCAGACAGAAGGACCACCACCAGCACCAGGAGAUCCAGAGGAGGAGAGCACCAGAGGGGCAGCAGCCCUUGUUCCCCGGCCCCCCUGGGGAAGACAUCUCCAGGGAGAGUCUCACAGAGCAGCCCAGCUGUUGUGAAAAGAAACCACAAGGGAUAGACACCCCUGCACCUGGCUGCUAUAAAGGGAGAUGUGGAGACAGUGAAGGAGCUCCUAGACCAGGGGGCUGACCCCAACCUGAAAGACAACGCUGGAUGGACCCUACUGCAUGAAGCGUAUAACCUGGGCCACCAGUGUGUAGUGGAGGUGUUGGUUAGGAGAGGGGUGCUGUUGAACACACCAGGCAAUGAGAACGACUCUCAUAUACUUGACGCUGUCAACACGGAGCUUCACAGAGCGUUUUGAAUAUGUUUGGUCUUCGUCCUGUGGACUAUGCUGUGAACUCAGGCAAUCCUUCAGUCAGCCUCUGAAGGAUCCCAACUCCCCUCUCAGUCCUCCACCCAACCUCAGUAAGUCUAUUGUGUUUCAGGCCAGUGAUGGGGUGAGACGGAAGGAACAGUUGGUAGUAUUGGGCAGUAAACUGUCCCAACAUAACCAGCUGGCCAAACUGGGAAUCCCCCUGGGAGGAAAGAGGGCUGAUGCCUUCUCUUGCUCAGUCACCCAUGUGGUGGUACCAGACGGGCCGAUGCCCACCACCCUGUUCUCUCUCCUGGGUCUCCUGAACGGUUGCUGGGUCCUCAACUUCAGCUGUAAAUAACCUAAGGCCCAAUAAAAUCUGCUUUGCAGAGAAUGAGGAUGGAAUCACGGAAUCCAGACAUUAAAACGGACUUCAACAAUAUUCCAAAAUGUAUUGAACUGAACAAAAUACAUGUAAAGUGUUGGUCCCAUUUUUUUAUGAGCUGAAAUAAAAGAUCCCAGAAAUGUUCCAUACGCA
rnacentral:lncRNA from 1 species